AUGAAGAACGUAGCAAAAUGCGAUACUUGGUGUGAAUUGCAGAAUCCCGUGAACCAUCGAGUUUUUGAACGCAAGUUGCGCCCGAAGCCUUUUGGCCGAGGGCACGUCUGCCUGGGCGUCACGCAUCGCGUCGCCCCCCACAAUUCUCCGUAAAGGGAACAUGUGUUUUGGGGGCGGAUAUUGGUCUCCCGUGCUCAUGGCGUGGUUGGCCGAAAUAGGAGUCCUUUCGAUGGACGCACGAACUAGUGGUGGUCGUAAAAACCCUCGUCUUUUGUUUCGUGCUGUUGGUCGCAAGGUAAACUCUUUAAAAACCCCAAUGUGUCGUCUCUUGACGACGCUUCGACCGCGACCCCAGGUCAGGCGGGACUACCCGCUGAGUUUAAGCAUAUCAAUAAGCGGAGGA
rnacentral:misc_RNA from 1 species